rnacentral:rRNA from 1 species
CAAAACUUUCAACAACGGAUCUCUUGGCUCUGGCAUCGAUGAAGAACGCAGCGAAAUGCGAUAAGUAAUGUGAAUUGCAGUAUUCAGUGAAUCAUCGAAUCUUUGAACGCACAUUGCGCCCGCCAGUAUUCUGGCGGGCAUGCCUGUUCGAGC